AUGGUUCAGUCCGUCAAUCAUCAGACCCUGGAAACUGCACAACAAUUUGUUGCGGUAGUUGUAAUGGGGUAAACGGUAAUCACUUGGAAGGAAGAUGUUGCAGUUCAGUAGACACUCAUAUAGUUGGUAGAUGUGGAACUCAACAAAACUCAGGUUUUAAAUGGGAUUUAGAUUAUUAUGGAAGCUUGAAUUAUUGUAUGCAGAAAAAAAACAGUUUACUACCAUCCUCCAAUUAUUGUCAAAUAAUAGAUGGCAACGAUGUUUAUCACGGACAAAUUUCCUGGACAAACGUGUUCCGUGAGGAGGUUGAAAUUAUUAGAACACAAGACGUCAGUCAAGAUCCAGACCGAUGUAUUUUUGGAGUAUUUACCCUCGUGCAAGGACAAACAACAUUAAACAUGACAGAACACAAGUGCAACGAAAAUAAAAAUUGGUAUAUAUGCAAAACAA